rnacentral:rRNA from 1 species
GUGACGAAGCGACGCCGCAUGCGGGAAGAAGGCCUUCGGGUUGUAAACCGCUGUCGGGAGUGAAGAAAUGCAAGGGUGCUAAUAGUAUCUUUGCUUGACUAAGGCUCCGGAGGAAGCCACGGCUAACUCUGUGCCAGCAGCCGCGGUAAUACAGAGGCGGCAAGCGUUGUUCGGAAUUAUUGGGCGUAAAGAGCACGUAGGCGGCUAUGUAAGUCGGUUGUGAAAGCCUUCCGCUCAACGGGAGAACAGCAUCCGAUACUGCAUGGCUUGAGUGCGGGAGGGGAGAGUGGAACUUCUGGUGGAGCGGUGAAAUGCGUAGAUAUCAGAAGGGAACGCCGGGCGGGCGAAAGCGGGUCCUCUGGGCCCAUUAACUGACGCUGAAGUGUGGCGAAAAGCUAGGGGAACCAAACGGGGAUUAAAAUUACCCCCGGGUAGUCCAAGCCCGUAACCAAU